rnacentral:rRNA from 1 species
UGUAGCAAUACAAGGCAGACGGCUCAGUAACGCGUAGUCAACCUAACCUAUGGACGGGAAUAACCUCGGGAAACUGAGAAUAAUGCCCGAUAGAACACUAUACCUGGAAUGGUUUGUGUUCCAAAUGAUUUAUCGCCGUAGGAUGGGACUGCGGCCUAUCAGUUUGUUGGUGAGGUAAUGGCCCACCAAGACUAUUACAGGUACGGGCUCUGAGAGGAGUAGCCCGGAGAUGGGUACUGAGACACGGACCCAGGCCCUAUGGGGCGCAGCAGGCGAGAAAACUUUGCAAUGUGCGAAAGCACGACAAGGUUAAUCCGAGUGGUUUCUGCUAAAGGAACCUUUUGUCGGUCCUAGAAACACCGAUGAAUAAGGGGUGGGCAAGUUCUGGUGUCAGCCGCCGCGGUAAAACCAGCACCUCAAGUGGUCAGGAUGAUUAUUGGGCCUAAAGCAUCCGUAGCCGGCUCUGUAAGUUUUCGGUUAAAUCUGUACGCUCAACGUACAGGCUGCCGGGAAUACUGCAGAGCUAGGGAGUGGGAGAGGUAGACGGUACUCGGCAGGAAGGGGUAAAAUCCUUUGAUCUAUUGAUGACCACCUGUGGCGAAGGCGGUCUACCAGAACACGUCCGACGGUGAGGGAUGAAAGCUGGGGGAGCAAACCGGAUUAGAUACCCGGGUAGUCCCAGCUGUAAACUAUGCAAACUCAGUGAUGCAUUGACUUGUGGUCAAUGCGGUGCUGCAGGGAAGCCGUUAAGUUUGCCGCCUGGGAAGUACGUACGCAAGUAUGAAACUUAAAGGAAUUGGCGGGGGAGCACCACAAGGGGUGAAGCCUGCGGUUCAAUUGGA